rnacentral:lncRNA from 1 species
UCCCCUCUCCUUUUCCUUCUCUCUCUCAUCCUUGUGCACUCUUUCUUCCCUCCCAUUGCUUUCCUCCCUUCCCAUCUUCUUUUUUCAUUCGAGUGUGCUUUCUCUCUCUCUCCUCCCUUUCCAUCGCUCCCUUUUCCUCAUCGUGGUCUUUCUCUCUCACUCUCUUUUUCUUCUUUUCUUCUUUUUCCUUCUACUCUUCUUUUUUUUCUCUUUUUUUGUGCAGCUGUUGGAUGUA